CGUGGAUGUAGGAACGGCUGCGAGCCGUCCCGGUAUCUGCACCAGGAUGGCCGAGUGGUUAAGGCGUUGGACUUAAGAUCCAAUGGACGCAUGUCCGCGUGGGUUCGAACCCCACUCCUGUACUUAUAUGAACAUUUGAUGACUGCUGCUGUGAAGAUUUUAUCAUUGAAAUUAUUGUUUCCUGAGCACUUCAUUUCUUCAGCAGCAACCAGAUGGAUGGAGGCAAUGGCCCUUCCCCCUCAGUGGAAGGGAACUUUGCUCAGUCCUGGUCCAUCCAGAUGUUUGACAGAUCUAAGCUGAUAUCUCAAGCUUCAGGUGGAAUUUUGCUGCCUCAGGAACUUGCAACAGGUGAAGCUCAUGAAAAUGUCAUAGCUCAGCAACCAAACCGGCCAUGGUUACUGUUUGGAGAGGAUGCCCUGUGUGGAGAAUGCAUGGAGCACCUGAAUGACUUCACCACCCAUGGACAUACUCUACAAAUAAAGUUGUAAAUUUCAUGCUGGAAUGGUUAUUCUUGAAUGUGUAUAGGGAAGAACACCCAGAAAUCAGUAUUACAUUAAUCAUUAAUGACAAAUUUG